UACGGUAAUGAUGGCAAGAAGGUCACACCUGUUCCCAUCCCGAACACAGAAGUUAAGCUUCUUAGCGCCGAUUGUAGUGAAGGGUUUCCCUUUGUGAGAGUAGGACGUCGCCGUGC
rfam:Jeotgalibaca sp. PTS2502, complete genome.